GGCAGCCAUAAGCAGGAGGAUCAAGCUUCCUCAAAACACUCCUAUCACCUGACUCUACUGGAUAAGGAAAGGGGACCGAGGUCCAGGACGCUUCUUACUCCUGAUCCCACGGAAGGUUUGCAAAGAUAACUGUAGGAGGAAUUCCUAGAAGUAGAAUUGCUGAGUCAAAAGGCAAAUCAGAGUGGCAUGGAAAGGAAUGGUAAGGGCGCUGAAUGGAGAGACAGCAAGUCUGGAUUCUGGGAUCAGUUAUGCCAUAUUUGACUCUCAUGACCUUGUACAA